rnacentral:tRNA from 1 species
UCCCCACUGGCUUAGCAGUAAAGAAUCUGCCUGCAAUGCAGGGGACACAGGAGAUGAGGGAUCGAUCCUUGUGUGGGGAA